ACAGCCGACACCAUCUUUCCAUCUUGUUUUCCUCCCAUCUUUUCUCUGCACUUUGUUUUAGAGAAACCCUAAAACACCUCCUCUCGAUCUCUACCUGCAUACACAAGGAGAAAUGACAAACAUUCUUUCACAUGUUACUCACACACCUCUCGAUCUCUCUCAUCUUUCUCUCAAUAAUCUGUGACCGAAACCCAGGGACCUCCGGCGGCUGAAGAGAUUAUGGCGGUGGAGGCGGUGGGUGCACGGCGGUGCGCGGCGGUGGAGGGGUGCACGGCGGUGGUGGUCUCAACGGAGCGACAAACCGCACCCCUUCCUUCCUUUCCCGAUCGUUCUCCUGGACCGACGACCCGAAACAGAACCGGCAGCCUCCGCCUUGUUUCUUUUUCUGACAAAGAUAGCGGUGACGGGGGUUCGAGUAACGGUAGAGGUCCCCGGCGGCAUCAGGUUAGAAGUGGUGGUGGAGCGGAUGCGGUUGAUGAUAUCGACGCUGGUGGUGGCGGCCGGCAACGGCAGGACGGCGGAGCCGUUGGGAUACUGGCUGACGGCGCGGCAGUGGCGAUGUUAUUUUGGGUCUCAGUUUAGUAAUGGUUCAGAUGUUGAAGUCCGAUGUUUGGGUCAAGGAUCGGUCAACCUAAGUCAACAACAGUCAACCGUAGUCAUUGACAGUUAUCUCGGGUCAACAAUGCGGACCGGUUCAGUUUCAGUCAAAAGAAAAUUGGUUUAUUUCGAGUUCGGCUCAGUGAAGUAUUUACUCGGUUAGAGUUCUGAUUAAACACGGUUCGACUCGGUCGACUCAACUGGUCAACUCAGUCGACGCUAAGACCCGGAAUGCUCUAGUUGCACGCUAGCACACGUUCUUGGAACGACACUACGGAAUCACGCUAGGCUAGCUUUGCACAGGAAUGUCAAGGUUGCAUUUUUCAAAACUACGGAACGGUUGGAAUAGGAGAACCCACGGGAUUUCGAGUACCUAGCAGGCGUUCACUGUUUAGAAGUCUUAGCUUUUUGCUUCCGUUGUGCAAUGAAGAUACCGGUCCAGUCAUGCCAGCUCUGAUAUUUCGGGGUGUGACAACCAUAUGGUGGUCUAGUCACAAUCCUCACAGGCUCAUUCAUUGUUUUCUUCCCCUACACAUUUUAAGAUGCACUUUGUGACUAUGCAAGGAAUUACGUGAUUAUGGAUGCAUACAUAAUUAUGAAGUUCAGUGCACGGAAACCACAGUGAGACUUAUUAUGUGUAAGAACCGAUAGUGACAACCAUAACGAAAUGCGAACAAUGUAAUAGAGGUACGGUGGACGCACCAAUGACGCUUUAUAUACUUGUAUAGAAGUAUCCCUCUCACACUACAAGCAUGAUGUUAUUGUAAAGUUACUAGAAGUUCAGGACUCUAACCAGUAUUGUUUAAUCUUUUCAACCUCAUGUUUCAAGCUCUCACAAGUUUCCUCUAAAUAAAUUUCGGGACGAAAUUUCCACACGUAUGGGAGACUGUAACAUUUGUGCUUGAAAUCAUUGUGAACAGUUCAGUUAUCAAUAAAACAAAGUUAUUUGAUCCCAA